UGCAACUCCCGUCAAAGAUUUAUAUUGCCUGCAACAUCUUCUCUCCCUUAGCAGUCACUGCUGAUUCUAUGGUUUAAUUAAAAACCUAGAACUUCACAUCAAUCCCUCUAUGAAACAAUGGCAAAAGCAUUCAAGCUUAUAUUUGCAGAGUCAUUGUUGCUUAAAUUGUUAGCUAGUGUUUGCCUCAUCACUUCUAUUAUUGGCAUGGGUGGGUUCGGCAAAUGAGUUACAAAGGUGUUGAUGUUCGUCCAUGGCAGCAUGGUUUUUGUCAAUGACAACAUGGUUCUGGUCAAUGGCAAUUCAUCAACAUGUCACGGCAAACAACGAUGACUCCUGUAUCUCCGGUAGAGGUUAGCUGGCCAACAAGAAGGGAUAAAUAGAUUUAAAGAUGGGUUCCAUUUGAGUUAAACCAAGCUAAAAAGGGCAGGAACUAUUGUUUGGAGAGCAAGGAAAAUACAUUCAAAGAGUCAUCGUUGCUUAAAUAUUCUUAAGAUGGCAACAUUUAUCCUUUUUUUCUGUAAGCCUUUUCUCUGUGCUAAGCUUCUAUGGCUUAUUUUGGCUUUGCUACAUGCAGUGUUUUUCCCCAUCACUUAUUCGAUGGGCAUGGGUGGGUUCGGCAAACCAGGUGCAUAUCCAUUGUGCCCUCCCGCUGCAGUCAAGGAUGCUGGGAUCAGGGCACAAGACUAUAAAAUUAGGGAUAUUGCAGCCCAAGUGCCCACCUCGUUGUUUUUUACAAUAAUCUUUGAUGAAUUCAGAAAAGCAUUGAGUCAAUGAAAUUCUGAUAUAGUAGACAAUGACAACCAUGGCAAUACUUUAACAGAAGAGAAGAACAUUAGAUAGAAUUCUAUACAACAAUCAAUAGCAGAAAGAAGAGUCUGAGACUAGACUACUAGAACUUCAUUUGUUUGUCCAUGCUAAGAUACCUUCAGAUCUUGUGAAUAAAUCAUAUGAAAUUUCUUUUCA